rnacentral:lncRNA from 1 species
UUUUUUUUUUUUUUUUUUACAUGCAAUGGAAGUGACAUUAUUAAUUCAGAUGCCAUUUGGAUCAUUCACAGCAACACAUAUAGGACUAGAGGUCUUUUCGUUUUCCAUAACGCAAGGCCGCAUAGAAAAACACCAAAUCCAAAGAGAAUGAAUGCAAUUUAAAAGCAAAAGGACAAAUGUUGUAGUACCAAGGAAAUGUCUAACAAGCACCAAAAUUGGCAGUAGCAUUUAACAUCCAUAGGAAGAAAAAGCCAGAGACGAAGCAAAAUGUACACAUUGUAGUUUACAGGAAGAAAGUAUUGACAAAAAUAUUCAUAAAUAACAGCUGUCCGCAUUGCACACUUUCAAUCCCCUUUCAGUAUGUAUCUUUCUAACGCCUCUCCCCCAAUUGUCUCACAAGAUAUUUAGAACAAUCCAACCACAAAAGUUUAAAAAGAACCCAGAAAGAAAAAAUCCAACAAAUAUGAAUAAUAACAAAAUCCCAGAACUUUUGAACUCAUUAUCCAAU